CAAAAUGAGACUGAAGAAUAUCAGAAUGUCUAAAUAUUGCUGUAGUGAUUGAACUCUCUUUUACAAAGUUGACAAAGAACAAAGUUGUCUAAAUUUAAUAGUAGAAAAUUGCUGGAACAUCUGCCACACAAAGGACCCUGUGAAGAAGAAGCCUGGGAAUAUAGGUGCGAGCAGAUCAGAACGAGUUUUGUAUGACAUGGGUAAGUUUAGACUUUAUCUACUAAGCAGAGGCACAUUUGCUUGUACAUUACACCAUGAGGAGAGCAGCUAUCUCUGUCCUCACUCUUCUUGUUAGAAGAUAAGCAGAUUCUUAAAUAGGGCCACCAUCUUCAACUUUGUUAGGUAAAUGUAGCUGACACUCAUUUUGUAUUUCAGGCUUGGCUUUUUAAGUUUGAA
rnacentral:lncRNA from 1 species